rnacentral:lncRNA from 1 species
UUUGCAGAUUUUCAAAUAAAACUCAGAGAUUCCAUGUAUGACUCUCUUAUAUCUCUCUUUUGUGGUAUUUCUGGAGCCUUGCCGAGGCAGUAAUGGUAUAUGCCUUCUCCCAAAGUAUGUGGUAUUUUUGGUAUAAGGCAUAGUGAUAUUGCCUCCUCUCUCACCCUACUCUAAUAAGGUUUUAAUAUCUGGAGCUCAUAGGUGGGAGAUAGCUAAUACAUACUUACAAGACAUUUAUUGCAUAGUCAAACCAUGGAUCCAGAGGAACAAGUCAAUAAGUCAAACCAAGAUGUGCAUGUGUGGCGAGUGAAUGGUGUAUGGUGAUGAUGGUGAUAACAAUGGUGAAAGUCUAAUUCUACUUUUGCUCUUUUGAGGGGAUACAUACCUUUCUUGCACUUUGAAGCUUUUUGAGGAGAAUGAGAUGCUCUAUAUUUUCUUUUUCUUUUCUCUCAGGUGGGUAUCUUGUACCCCUAAUUCUACUGUCGGACACUUGUCCAUUUUUACCCCUCGUCUCACUUUUUCUUUUCUUCGAGGUUCCGGGCACUUGCCCCUUUUUAUUUCCUCGUAUUUUCCUCUUUUUCUUCUUUUUUUUAGAGCACUCAUCUCCUGAAAUAAUAUAGCAAGUGGUAGUAACCAAGAUAACUCGAGCAUUUAUUCCACAGGGAAUAACAGGGAAAGGAUAAUGUUUUUGGCUAUUCUCUCCUAGAUAGGAGUAGAAUAAUUUUGGGUGAAUCUAGAGAUGGAAAUGAGUGGAUAUAUGUGGAUGCGUACUUCUGGAGUAAAAGCAGCAUGUGUGAAUGAAUAUGCAAGUGAAUCUUGAUUUUAGCCACAUGACAAGCUCCUAAGGGUCUACACAGCUUGACCACACUCAGUGCUCAUAAGCAGUAAAAAGUAAAUAUGUGGCUCAAAGUCUAGCAAGCAUGUAUAUAUGGCUGUGGUAGGAAUUUAAACUCUCAUCAUAUAGGAACUCAUCAUGUGUUAUCUUAAAGAUUUUCAAAGAUAAAAUUCUCCAGAAUUCUAGCAUCUCUAGGAACAGAUAAACAGCAGCUCAACCUUCCCAUAUCAUAUCCGUUAACGACUUAGACUUUAGAUCAAGUACUCUUCCCACAAGUUCAGGUUUAGAGCAGGUUUAAAUUAUAACAGUUAUGCCUAAACUUGAGAGAGAUUUUAAUUUUAAGAACUAGUCAUGGCAGAGCAACUAUUCAUCAUUCCAUGUGAGAGUUUAUCAUGAGGGUUCAUAGCAAACUUUAUUUAUUUAUUUAUUUAGCAAACUAAGCAAAGAUAUAUAUAAAAGCACAAAAUCUUUAUUUGGGUUUUUAUGAUUAUGCAUCUUUUUAUUAUUUGAGUAAAGUAUAAACGCGAGUAGAAACACUUAGCUGGAUAAAUGGGGGUGCUCUCCCCCAAGCUAGAUUUUGACGUAAUUUCUUCUGAUGUAGCUAGCAAGUGACGGAGGUAUAUUUAAAUGUUGGCAGCACCCUGACAGCGAUUAGGAUGUCCUCCGUCUGCUAGUCUUCUUUGAUCCUUGAAUUUUGUGGAGCUCAAAUAGACAACAAAGCUUUGUGGAACUGGUUAAGUGUUAGCAUAAAAUCUCUUUGCCUUUAUCAUAUUGAGCUUUCUCCUAAUAAAUUUUAUUUAGCAGGAUCAUGCACUUAUUAUUUUUAUAUUUUUAUUGUAAGAUAAAAACAUAUUUAUUUUACGCCACCACAGUCAAUAUACCUAUGGGUUUUUAAACCACAAGUCUACUCACAUGGGGCUUACUAUUUUAAACAUUUUUAUUUUCUUUUCAAGAUGAUAUGAACCUGAUUAACUAAGCAAACUAUUGAAAGGAAAAGGAUAACUACCAAGUUUACCUCUUGGCAAGGCGUUCGGUGUUUUUAAGUUCUCCGAACGGGACUCUCCGUUUUCCCAGUCGUUCUGGGAUUCGCUGGAUGGCGUAGUCGGUGAUUCCGGCGGCGCCUCCUUUUCAUGUAUAACUAUCUUCUCUCUCCACACCUGACUCGGUGCUACGGUCUCCUCAGGACAGUUCUGUUCAAGCUGUAUGUCUUCAGACCUUACCACUUCUCCUUCGUACUCUGCCCAUCUGUCCUUGAUGAUUUGCCUCCUCUGGUUGCGGUUGCGUUGUCUUCUUGUUGUCUUGACCUCCUUAGAGUUUUCAACUAUAUAGUUAGGGUCAGUAAAACAGCGGCAUACCUUCUUAGAGGAGAAGUGUAUGUGGACUUCUCCGAUUCCAAUAUAGAUGAUGGCUUUGAUAGUGUUGAGGAACGGUCUUCCAAGGAUGGUAGGUAGAUCGUACUCGUCUUCUCCCAUGUCAAUGCCCUAAAAAUCAUCUGGAGCUGAAUGUAUGUUGGUUGUAGAGGCAUGGUUCCAUGCAGGAGCUGAUAAGUGACUGCGGCCAUUAUGUUGACGUCAGAUCUGGUGUCGUAGAGUGUCUUCUGAAAAGAGUAUCCAUUGAUUGUGCACUUGAUGCUUGGAACACCAGGGUCGUCUUUCUUGAUCAGGAAACCCGACUUGAGUCGACGAUGUUGACCUCUUCCGACAAGGAUCCAAUGUUUUAAGUCUUCUGGACAAGACUUCUCACCGUCUUCAUCCUUUAGGUGCAUCAUCUGAUUAGGUGUGGACCUUGACGUCUGCACUUCUUGAUACGGUGUCACCCAUGUUCUUCAUUUUCCAGUAGUUCAAAGUGCGGCGUUAGCAGCAUCUUGCUCAGUGUGUUUGUGCUUGUAGAUCCAGGUCCUUCACUUGGUGGAAUCUGGGAGUUGUAAAACUCCUUCAUGUUUUGCUCGAAGUGUACCUGUUCAUAGAGACAAUGCAGAGAUCAAGUGCAAGGGCCCUGUUGGUGGAAAACACCAACAGAACCAAAAGUGUAUUUGUUCUUCUCUAACCUUAAGCAUAGUGAGCAAGACAAAGUUGAUGGAUCAUGAGUAUAGCAUUUGUCAGAUCGGAUGGCUCAACCUAAUGGAAAGAUAGUCUAUCUAUAUUUAUGUUUUGUUUAUAUCUUCCAAAGAUUGAAUGUGCAACAUAUUAGCUUAUAUGAUUAGGACUGUGGGAUCACGAAGGUAGUACUAAGAAUAAAGAUUAAAGCACUAAACAUGCUGAAUCAGUUAGGUUGGUUAAUUUAGAGUUAUAAAUCAUACAUGUUUGUCUCUUUAUUUAUGUGAACGCUAGAACCAAGGAGAAGCUUAUAAAAGCGAUAGUCAAGUACCUUAAGAUGUUACCUUACUUGAAGAGUGAUGGUAUAGUAUCACCUUGUGGAAGCUUUCCUUUCUUAGCGGUUUUGCAUCGUGUUUGUGGCACCCUCCAUGGAUCAUCUCUUGUGAGCUAUGCCUUCCUGGUGUAAAUUGUUAACCUUCAUGUGUCUCGCUCUUUGUCUCCAAUGUGAGUUUGUAUCUCAGGACUUCCCAUGUUGAUAUUGAAAGUUUUUUCUGCAGGGGUUAGUCCGACAAAAUAUACCAAUGUCUACACAAGCAGUUUUUAGUUCAAUAACCGAACUAGACUCCAUGUCUAAUCAGAUUAAGGAAGGCUGUUUAACCUAAGCACCAUGCUUAAUUUAAAUGCCAAUAGAAGUAUGUGCAGUACUUCCAAACUAACACUUACUAGGAUAAACAAAGGUAGCAUGAUGGCAUUUAUAGAGAUCUUGUGCUUGUUAUUCAUCCGAUCUUCUUGCUCCAAUCCUGGAAAGGUUAGUGGCAAGAGUACCCGAAGGAAUAUUUCUACAAUUAUCUCUAUAUGCUCAAUACACAAGGCAAUGUUGCAAAUAAUUAGAAGUUCAUGUCACGAUCUGAUAGGUGCUUGUUUUAGGACACUAAGCUUGUCCUUGGGAAACCAUCAAUUUAUGUCGGCGAAGUGGUUUCCCCUCCAACGCUGACCUAUAUCAAGAUCAACGAGAUCUGCAAUAUUUAUUAUAGACAUAUACAUCGACAACCGCCCUUUUAAAGUUUUUAUAAAUAGAAAGGAGGAGGGGGUUGGAGAUCUCAAAUGUGGUAAGGAUGGAGAGACCAAUUGAUUGGGGAGAUGUUUUAUAUGAGUAAGGACUUGGUGAGGUAUUUAUGAAAUAACUUCCAUGCUCACUGUUGUUCCUCUCAUUCUCAAACUCCAAGGAUGAUUCUUCAUGAAUGCUUAAAAUUCCUCUAGGAUUGUCUCUCAAGUUUGUUUUAUCCAUCCAUUCAAUGGUGAUAGCACAUGGAUUUUUAAUGCCCUCUAGCCAUUGAUGUUGCUCUUCUCGAUCCUCCUUGUGGUCUUGAUGACUAUUAUGAAUGGGAUGUCUAGAGAGAUUCAUAAGAUCAUUGGGAGGUUCAAGAGAAAGAGCAUAGUAGAAAUUAUUAAGCUCAAGGAUGGGUUGGAUAGCCGAAUUAUAGGAUUGAAAUGUUUGGAAAUCGGCUAUUGAAACUUCCUUUCCUUGUCUGGGAGAUGAUUCCUUCUCUAUCUUUAGGAAUUUUUUAUGAAGACUAGUAUAAGAAGGAUGUCCACAAAUGAAGACAUACCUUCCUUUACUAAUAGAUAAAGAAAGAAAGACUCUACCAAAGGUUUAUGAUUAAGACCAAUGUGAAAAUAUCGAGAAAAAACAUGGUCUUGUAGGGCUAGGUUUAAACCAUAAUUUAUAGAAAGAUUAACAGAUUCCCUAGGUGUAGCUAAAAGUGCAUUAUCUUCUUGAUUAAAAGAUAGGACCUCAGCUGUAGAAAAGGGUUGGUUUUGACCUAUUGCAAUCAACCCCGGGCACAGAUCAUAAUUAGGGGCAGGACUUGUUGACUCCCAUGGUCUAUGGCUGGUCUCCGAAGGUGCAAAAAAUUCAAUAAUAGGUAUGGAAUUUAAGUUAUCCAUAAAGAUAAAAAUAAAAAGAUAAAAGAAUAAAAGUAUAAAAGUAUAAUACAAGAUAAUAGCAAGACUUAAAGUUAUCUCAGCAAACCGUCUUUCUCCCCGGCAACGGCGCCAGAAAUGCUUGUUGAUAUUUGGUAACGCAAUAAGGAAAUGAUCCGCAAGCGCACGGAUAUCGGUGAGCAUUUCACCCGGGAGGUUAUCUAGAGUUAUCGUAUUUAUAUUUUUACCACUAGGAGAAAGGGUGCAUCUGACUAACCAAAUCUAUUGCUACUAUCCCUUUAGGCUACAAAGAAUGAUUCUCGAUGUGAGUGAUGUAUAGAGAAGACUCCAACCGUAGUCUCGUUCUAACCUUGGUAAAGAUGAUCUACUGUUCUAUUGGGGAAGCUUAUGGAAUCUAGACACCACAAAGGAUGUUCGACCCGCACCUAUAAACCUACCCGUCCUGCUAACAAGAUAUGGGAUACAAAGGUAACUCGGAAAUGUCACGUUCCUCGCUACUAGCACGGUCCAGCUAGUCAGGGGAUAUCUAUGAGUACCCUAGCCUAAACACCACAUUUAUGCUAGGAAUGAUUACUCUAAUACUCAACCGGAAGAGGAUUAAAAUAAACUCAUAAACCAAAGAACAAUAAAACAAUUACUUACUAGAAUUAGAAGUCGAAUUACUGAAGAAUCUUAGAAGCAAGUCUCGGGUUAGAAGACUUGAUCCCGUAGGUACAACUCGGAGUAGACACCGACAGGCCGGCCUUCCUCCGAUCUACACCUCCACUCUAUCUCUCUCAAUCUAGUAGAAACUAGAAGAUCUAUUUCAACUUACAUUGGUUGCUAAACCUAAAAAGAAAUUCUAUUUAGAGAAGAGGUUUUCCUUCGAGGGCACCCCUCAACUCUAUGAUAAACUUGUCUCCUCCAGGGGCCAGGGGGUCUGCUUAUAUAGUCCUCCUCAUCUGUGCAUUUUUGGUCCAGCAGGUGAUGUGGUACUACGUUAUCCUUGAUCCUUUAGGUCGGUCGAACGUCGUGUGCGAAAAGAGUCCCGAACGGAGUCCAGAGAGGGGCGGGCGCCCAGGUCCUCAGGGUGGGCGCCCUGGGCCUGGCCCCUUUCGGCCUCUGCUUUCUUCUCAUGGCUUCUGGAGUCUUCUAGAUGGUAGAAAAUUAUGCGGUGCGUUGAUAUCUCUAUGUAAUCCCGACAUGUGGGCCUUUCUUCCUUAUUUCCUGAUAACCCCCUGCAGAAAUAGACAAACAUCAAAACUCGUGGAAUUCUCUCAGAUAAAACCCUAAGUCUGGGUGUUGGUUGCAUUUGGAUCCUUUUCUUUAUUUAUUUGAUGAUUAUAUUUGGUACUUAAGGACCGUCAACAAGGUACACAAAAUAUCUAGACACCAUGUCUACAUAAUGUGCACCACCUGACUCACUCGAGUACUGAAUCAGGCGCUUUACGAUCAUAUAACAAUAAUCAUCAUAAACCACAUCUAUAUCAAAUAUGCAACUAGAAUAAACUAAGAACUGAAUAAAUAGCAAUAUAUUAAAGUAGACCAAAGUCAUAAUGAAAUACAACAUAAUAUUACCAAUUUCUAGAAGACAGAUCUGGAAUCCCGAGCGGGGCGCCUCAUCUCUACUUGAAACUCGCUAGAUGCCUAGACUAAGAACUUGAAGAACUAGAGCUCUAUUUCUAAUCUCUUGAAACCCUAACUUCUGACUACUCUUGACAAAUGAAGCAGGAGGAAUGAAUUGAAUCUGGGGUCAUCUUCUAGGAGGGGGGUCUGCCCCUCUAUUUAUAGCCUAGUGGAGUGCACACGCGCUGUUGGAUCAAACCGACUUAACGAGCGGUCGAGAUGGGUCCUCAGAGGUGGUGGAAGAAGCUUUCGGAAGGGGGGGGGCGAACCCUAACUACAGGGGGGCCGGCGGUAGGGUGGUGCCAGCUGGCCCCACCUAGUAACCGUUUGCUCCCUUGUUGCGCCUGGUGUCUUAUGGAGUCUUCCUAAAUCCACUGGUGUCGCCCUUCCGUCACGGAUAAGUUUUGUGGCCAAUUAACACCUUAAUCCCUCUUUUCCGUGCUUUCUGAAAUAAUCCCUGAACAUCACAGAAUAUGCAAAACUCGUGGAAAUUGUCAGUUUAAACCCUAUACUAGUGUGUAUUCAUGUUUUCCCUUGGGUUUAAUGUUCUAAUAAUAUUUGAUGUUAUGGACCGUCAACAAGAACCCAGAAGCAUCAGACCUUUAUCCUUGCUCAAAGCCUUGUUCCUCAUCCUCUGUCCUUUCUCCAUAGGUACUGAAUGAAUGUCUUGGAGCUUCUCCUGAGGGACCUUGCCCUGUGGGGAUGAAUGGUGGUGGUGGAUAGUACCCAUAUGGAUGGUAGGUAGGAUGGAACGGAGGAUACAUCCUAGGAUUCAGUGCGCAGCACUGGCGUGCUUGCCAUUCAUCGUAGCUAGUGUGUGUUGGUGCUUCAUGAGUGGGGUCAGCACCAGGCCAGACUAGCUCGUGUUGACAAGCAAACCUCUUAGAGGCUGUCCUCUGAGGUGCCCUCUCAGAAGCCUCUCCUUGAGCUCCUCUCCUAUUCAUUGGUCGUGCCUAAAACUCAAUGUGUAGAGUUUGGACAAAAUACAGUGCCAUCUCCGAGUUAGGUAACCGGAGCUUGGCAUCCCCAUAUGUCAUGUAUAAAUCCCCUUUUAUUUUCUUUAUAAGGUGCACAUGAUUAAAAUGUUCAUAUCCAUAAAUUUUUCUAUGUGUAUCAAUAAAAUCCAAAGAGGCACCUUCAAGUAAUUUAAGCUUAAAAGCUAAAUGAGUAACUAUGGAACAAAUUGCUACAUCUCCUACUUUAUAAGCAGGAAUGCUUAACCAGUGAUCUACUAAAGCAUGGACAGGUGACACCCUUAUUUUCUUAACCACUGCAUAAAUUAAUUCUAAAUCUAUGGCUCUAAUUUUACUAGCAUCAUCUUGAGGGAAGAAAGCUAUUCCUAACCACUUAUGCAAGAACCUAAAUGUAGGGUGCUCUAUGUCCCGAGUACGAUUGCCACAGAAGAAAUGCUCUUUAGAAAUUUCAAUCUAAAAUUUAUGGGUGUCAAAAUCUUUUAAGGCUUCUGUUAAAUCUAAACAUGCAUUUGAAGGAAAGCCUAAAAGAUCACUAAGAACUCUCCAUGUUAAACAGAAUUCUUGGGUAAACAACCUAAAAUAAACUCCUGUCUGGGUGAGUUCAAGGGUGCUCAGAAAUUCUUUGGCUAAAACCUUGGACCCUAACUCAGUGAUAGAUGUGAAAGAACUCCAACCAACAAACUGGAAAAUAGUAUCGAAUUCAGUUGCCAUAUCUGUUUCACCGAGGAACACAUCAUCUAAGACCUGUGUGUGGACAAAGCUCCUGCUCUUCAAUUUGUUGUAGAUGUUCUUUUCUCUCGCAUCCUUCAAGACAAGGUGAGUUGCUGUGAGGAGAACCCUUUGUGGUGUAGCUGAGGAAGAUGGUGGUUGAGGGUCAGCAGGAGGAUUGGUGCUCAUGUCAGAGCCAGCCCUUGACGAGACAUACUGGGAUGAGCUCCUUGUGGUCCUUCCCAAGACCUUGUUGGUGAUUCCCUUUGCCCAGCUCCUUAUCCUGCAACAAAUGCUUACAGACAAAAACAACACUAGUGCAAGGGGUUAAUCAAAGGUUAGUGGUUAGCCAUCCAGAGGUGAGUCGUUCUUUUAAGAUUAAGUCUAGUUGCUAGUUUGGAUUUUGACAGAACCUUCGUUGAUUUUAGAUUUCUUAAUUCCUAGUUAGACAGCACUUCCACUAAUUUCUCUAUGAAUUCUUGCGGCACUACCCCUCUUUCACUAGCCCUUGAGCUCUUGCUCACUCUCCUGAAUUCCCACACUCUUCUCUACUCUUUCUAUGCUCUCCUUCUCUCCCAAACUCUCUAUGGACUGCUAGAGGCCGAGAGGUCAAAGUUUGUCUACUGAAAUGGCUUGUGUAUGGUGUGUGGAAGUGGAGGAAGGCCUUUUGUAGAGGAGGAGGUGGCCAGGUGUGGGGGUAUAAACCCCUAUACCCUUACGGUUAGACUUAGGCCAGGAGAUGUAACAGAACUGUCCAAUUUAUAAGAAUUUAAGUGAAUUAGCGACCACAAAGCAGUCAAGCCAAUGGACUUGAACCCAUAUAAACCCAGUAGUCCGACAAAACCUCAAAAGAUCUUGAUUCAACCAACAUACAACCAAGACCAUAAAUGAUCAAGCAUCUCCAUCACAGAUUACAUACAUUCAUCACAGAACAUAGUUUUUACCAUACAUCGGAGUUCAAAUAUAUUCAUUACAACAUAGAUCAGUAGCAGAAGCAAAGUAGUUUUUAAACACACACACUUUUAGUUCAAUUACAUGCCAGUUCCAUAGUCAUUCCGACAAAAGCACAACUGAAGAGAAUAGAAGUGAUCUUGCUCAUGAUCUACUCAUCAUCCGCAGCCGGACGAUGACAGUUAGCACAGUAGCCAUGAUAAACGACAUGAUCUGCAACAGGGGUAAAUAAAACCGUGAGUACGAUGAUGUACUCUGCUAGACUUACCUGUCAUAAACCAGAAAUAAUGUGACACCAAGGAGUAUGCAAGGCUAACAUUUGUGGACGGGUUUGACUCACCUUUGCAUAAAAGCUUUAAUUUUUGAAUAACACAUUUAUAACAUUUUCAGCAGCAAGUUAAUUACUUAGAUCAGCUAUCCACUAGAUUAGCACCUGUUCUAAGCAUACACUUGAGUAUUUAAGCAUCACAAUAAUAACCAUAUCCGGAUUAUCACAUAGCUAUCAACAUUCUUCACUUAACCAUUAAGUUUAAUUAGUGAGUUCUACGUUGCCGCUUCUCGAGUCAAGUUCUCACUAUCCGGGAGAGACGGCGAUUCGAAUCGAUUCCUAUCCAGCUGGAGGGGUAUUCCUAGCAUUCACCCAAGCAUACCUCGCGAGGGCAGCUCGGAUCACCUUUGGCACAACUCCGGACCAAUUCAUGGGUCCGUCCAGCACCGCACCCCCAGGGACCGCCAAACUGCCAAGUGCAGGACUCUAACCUGACACCUUGGUCUUACGCCAUUGACUCCCGGCAUAUCCUUGCUACCAACCGGGGUGUGCACUCAUACAGAAUGGGGUAUCCGGCCUGAGUUGCACUCGUAGGCUUCGUGGUCGGAACGACUUAUCCGGCCAACUAAGUGUUAGGCAUGCGUUCAACAUGACACGAGGACGUACAGCGAAUCGGUCCUUAACCGACACAGACGGGGAUAGAUUCACACCCAAGACCUCCAUGCCUUGUUGCUGCACUAUCAUCAUCCCGUCUGGUCUCAAUCAUUAUUAGCCAUGGUUAUUUCCACGAUAGCAAGUAUAGCCAACCGUGAUCAAGUAUCCACCUAUCUCUCGCAGGUGACAGGAAAUCACCCGGCUUCUACCGAGCUAAGCAUGGCUAAGCAUAAUUUCGAUCCUAGACCUACUUAGGUAUUUAAUGAGGUGGACAAGGUAGUAAUUAUGCAGUAAGGGUGUCAUAUCAACGCCUAACACUUAUUGCAACAAUACAUAACCAUAGUUAAUUGACAGCUGGACAUGAUAACAAAAAUAGUAGGAGGCUUAUAAUACUCCGGGGCUUGCCUUCAACGUAGGUAGAGGGACGAUGGUUGGGACACUCCGGUAGAUCCUCCUCCUCAGCUCCUGCUCCUUGAGGUGGCUCCCCAUGCUGCUCCUCCGGCUCGGGUGGUGCGAAUUCCAACACCGUCACGCCCGUGGGUACACCUAAGCAUGCAUGACAAGGCGAUAAACAUAGGGAAUGCACAUGUGAUGCAUAAUGUCAUGAUGAGAAGCCAAUUGAACAUGCAACAAGGCGCAAACAUGAGCAUAAGCUUCUAACAUUAAGAGGAUCAUGAAACAACAAGCAAGUGCAUACUUCUUCUCUGGUAGGGAGACUAACUAGACAAGCAAUCAACCUUAGUUAUUCACACGCAACAACUGGGGUUAUGUACAGAUUCACUAGUCACAAGUUCUGGCUGUAACAUAAACAUCAGUUGGCCACACUAAGAAAUUAGAUACUUUCUAGAAAGCUUAACAAAUUGUUUACAGUUCACUUUUAGACGUCACAGAAGGAUUCCCAACCGAAAUAGGUUGAAACAGACAAAGUUGGCUGGCUGCUCUGAAAAAUCCAGAGAGCAAACACUUCGUAGCAGUUCCUUGCAACAGUCAUAACUCUUAAACUACUCAGCCAAAUGUCACAAAAUUUGGACACGACAGAUAAGUAAGUUGGCUACAAGUUUGUUAUAGACAAGUUUUCCAGCAAACUUCAUCUUCAAACAGUUCUUAAGUAAAUUUUAUUAGCUACACAGAAUAUGCUCUAGGAAGACAUAAUUAGCAAAAUAAUAUUUUAACACAUACUAAGAAUGCAACAAAGGUUCCAACCAAAAGCACCAGUAGCUAGCAUAUGUCUAAGAAACAUCAUAAAACAUCAUGGCAAGGUUUAAACUCAUUUUUAUUAUCCCCUUUUCUAUUUAAUGAAUUAUUAAGAUGAUUAAAUAAGCAUAUAUCACAAGUGCUCCAAAAAUGCUAGCAAAAUUACAGCAUGCUGUCCAAGCUACUACAAGGUUACUGUAAAAUUUUCAGGGCUCUUGCACAUGUAGAUUGUGAGAUACAAAAACGACCAGCUAACAAAGGCAUUAAAGGCAUAAAUGUGAAACCCUAUCAAAAAGUGUCAAACAACAGAUUUCAGAUUUUUCUUAUCUUUGUUUGUACAUAAUUAAAUCACUCAGUAAGUUUCAUCAGAAAAGGAGUUAUAAUCUAUUUACUAAAAAUACCACAAGAAACUCCUAUUUAAUCAAGAAAUAUUUAUAACUCUACCAGAAGGCAUCGAAAAAUCAUGAUAAAUUUAUCAGAGCCUAUUCAUGUCAUAAGUAACAAUAUCAUAAAUUUGCAUGGCCAUAGGACUCACAGAUCUCAAGAUAUAAUUACCUCCUAUUUAACCAAGAUUAAAUCAUAUCUAUUUAUUUCUGCAAAAACAUGACAUAUUUUAUAUUUUUAGUAAAAACUAAACUAAAUCAAGAACCUAACAAAAUUGGAAUCACUCCAUUUGGACCAAUAUAACUCGAGUUAUGAAUUUUACAAAAACCAGCUCAGAAUCUGCAAAACAGUGGACAGAGGGAGAGAGAGGCAGAGGCUGACAGGGGGACCCACUGGUCAGCGGGACCCACUCGACAGUGACACAGAGACUGGGGAGAGCUCGUCGCCGGCGAAACUCGACGACGGCGAUGUCUCGGUCGGAUCCAAGGGCACAGUCGUGACCCUCUCACCAAGGCGGACCUGCCGAGGUGCGAAACCCUAACUCUACUGAGCUCUAGGAUGCUCAUCGGCGCGAAUGGUGGCUCGGCAGCGCUGCGGGCGAUACGCCGGCAUGCUCAGCCGAUGCCGACCCAGUUGAGGUUCACGCUGAGCAUCAGCGAGUCAAGGGAGAGCUCUAGGAACAAAAACGAGAAGAAAUGGUGGAGCAGGGAGGCCUGGCCACGUCACCGGUGAGCUCGGGCGGAACUCCGGCGAGGUAGAAAGGCUCGGAGGUUGGCAAUGCCGCCUUACCCGUGCUCGACAGUGGCUAAGGAGGUGACGCCGAGGUAGAGGAGGCUUUGGCGGAGCUCUAGGCUGGCUGGCUUGGCCGGAGACGGAGAGGAGAGCUCGGGCGAAGCGGCCGAUUCGCGGCGCAGCUUGCCGAGGACGAAGUGGAGAAGAGAGAGAGCACCAGAGAGGGAAAUGAGGACGGCUGGCACUCGGGGUGGUGUCGUGGCGUCCAAGAGGGCGCGCUGGAGCUGACAAGUGGGUCAUCGACAGCGUACGGUCGACACCUGGCUGGACACGCGGCGGCGGACGGCGACUGACGAAACUGAAUCGCGUAAUUCAGUCGCCGUCGGCAGUGUCUGAAUCCCAAUGUUCAUCGACGUUCUACUCUUGAUCCACUCGAUGGUUUUGGCUCCGAUUUGUUUCUUUGGAUAGAGCUACACGAGAUUUACAAGUUUGCUUACAGGAUCAAGGUUUGGUUUGGCUUAGAUUUCAAACUACAACACUUCAAAGUACCCUACCUCGAAACUGUGAAAAUCAGACUUUGCCAAAAUCGACUAAGUGUUGGAAACAGCACUGAUUUCUGGCUUGUGGGCCACUUUUGGUCAGGUUCCAAGCAUUUUAAUAAAAAGUCAUCAACAUAACUUUUGUAGCUUAUGAAAUUUACUACAACUUUGCUUUAGAUGUCAUUUAAAUGCAAGGUUUCUAACACUGGUUUCAUAAAACAUCUUUGAAAAGAGGUUUAGGGGGGUCAACUAGGUCAACCUAGGGUUAACCAUGACUUAGGGGCAUUUUUGGGUAAAAUCUCCAACACAAACUUUGUUCAAAAUGAUAUUUUACACAUGAUUAAAGUAUGUUGGAAGACAAUGUGCACUUACAUGCAUUGGCCACACAUUACCAUCACAUAUAGCAAGUCAAAUAGCAAUUCUAUCACAUAUGAUAUACAUAAGAUGACAUGUGAUCAUGAUAUGAUGCUUAUGAAUGAGCAUGAUGAUGCUUAUGUUGAUGCAAUGCUCAUGGUUAACAUGCAAGCUAACACUAGGAGUGUUAUAUGAGAUAUGGCCCAUUACGAGACAACUCGUGGCUUGAUCCAUCUACUUGGAGUUUCACGCAAGGAAACAAGACAUGGAGAUCAAGCAAGAUCCUGGUCGGUUAGAAUAGGAAUUGAUAUUGUAUUAUCUAUGGAAAUUGUAACCGACUAGGAUUAGUUUCUAGAUUUGUAGCCCUACCCUCCAGACUAUAUAAGGAGAGGCAAGGGACUCCCUCAUAUCAAUUCAUUACAUCUCAUAUCAAUACAAUCAAACACAGGACAUAGGUAUUACGCCCUCACAGUGGUCGAACCUGGAUAAAAUCCUUGUCUGUGUGUUGUGUCACAGUCAAGUUCUUAGCUUGCGCACCUGUCUGCAAAUAAACUACUACCGUGGGUAUACCCCAAGGUAGACUGUUGACCAACUUUCAUCGACAGUGGUGUGCUAGGUAGGGGGUGUGCAUACAGCUCUCUAGACGAACAAGAUGGUCAUCACCCCCACUUCUGCGUCCAUGGCAGAAGGCCUCAUGAUCACCAUCGGCCAGAUCACCUGGAUGACUGGCACCGGCGGCCUCGCGACCACAACUUCGAAAGAAACCCAGAUCCAAUCUGCGACAACUUUGGCGACAACUCCAACCACGUCGGCCACAAUCACCAUCACCCUGACGAUGUCACCGACCAUGCCGACAACUCACCCUCCACUUUCUCGCUACAAUGGGAAGCAGAUUGACAACUCUGGUGAAUUCAAUCUCACCCUGGUGAAUUCAAUCUCAGGCCAGACCACCAGAGUGGCAUCAGCUAAUUAUUAUGGAUCUACUCGGCCAACUCGUGUCACUAGACACAAACAGUUGGAAAUAGGUCUAACAAUCAUCGCUACCCUGGAAGGACAAACCACUUGAACCAAGGCGAUCUCUCAGAGCAGGUGAUAUCCACCUUUCCCUCAUGGCCUAUGCAACUCAGCCGCACUGACCUCGCGACAUGCCCGUCGGCUGUUUGCGAAUUCUACGUCGAUAGAUCCAAUCCCGGAUCAGCGUACCCCCAGCAUGCACCAAACACGACACUUUGUCAGCAUGGUCUUUGUCCAAACUUUACGAAAAAAUGGUACAUCCAGCAUGCACUCCAGCACUGGCUUCGUCCCUACCGAGGUUUUACAUCCCAAGGAUAAGGACUACGAUAUGGACUUCCCUCCAUAUCCCCUGGGUUUUUCUUGCUUCCCGGUCGCCCCCCCAAUGAGGAGAUCUAGUCCUCAGUGUUAGCAAUGAUGAGCCAAUACUCGAUGGGGAAACCAACGACCAAAGAAAACAAUGUGAGCAACACAAUGCUGAUCGCACUCAAUGGUGAGCGCAUGAGGAAGAGCAAUAGAGACAGAUAAACGCUCAAAAUUUUGAUGAUGCUUUCGACAUGGUGGGAAACCAACACGUGUUUAAGACCCCAAGCGCCAACAUGGAUGUUGCUAUGGCGAAUCUCAAAUGACUCCCAAACACACCAGAAUACCAGGAUGUUCGGACCAGCAUACGGGCACACCUAAUCACCACCAUGGGACAAACUGUAGAUCUCAUCACACGAGUGCAAGCAUUCUCCUACACAGAAGCCACUUCUGGUCGAAGCCACCAAAGUUGGGUUUCACCACGGCCUGGCAGACCUCGUCGUGGUCACUCACCACAUGAUGUCCAUCAAGAGAACAAUGAUCAUCACAACCAAGAGGCUCAUCGCCACGAUCGUGAUCGGGACGCUCAUCAACAUCGUUGUGUCCAUGACCCUAACCGUGGUCACAACCAGGAAGUUGACCAGGGAGCAGAUUGUGAUCUCCGCCGCAACCUUCCUCGAAAUGACGUCUGUGAUCACAUUAAUAAGCGCAUCAACGACAGAGCAGCACAUGAAAAUAUUCAACGUAUUGAGUAUGAUGCUGUACAUGGCCCCCUAGGUUGAAGCAGUUUUCUCCACAUCUCUAAUAAGUCAUCUGGCCUUCCAACUUCAAGUUAGAAAAGCUCAAAAAGUAUGAUGGCAAGGAGAACCCCAAGAACUAGAUCACUCUCUAUGAAAUUGUUGUCCGAUCUGCCACGGGAGACGUGCAUGUAAUGGCAAACUAUUUCCCCAUCGUCCUUGAUCAAGCCGGACAUCAAUGGCUUCUUGGCUUACUAGAGAACCAGUUUGAUUCAUGGGAAGAGUUAUGCUAGGCAUCCAUUGACAACUUCAUAGGCACCUACGAGCAACCUGGCAACAAGUAUGAUCUUGAGAGAAUACGGGAUCGCAAGAACGAACCACUGUGUGACUACAUCUGACAUUUCUCGGAUAUGCAUCUUAAGAUUCCAAAAAUCACCCACGAUGAAGCAAUCUCUGCACUCAUCAAAGGCCUUCGUUAUCACAAAGCCCUUCGCAGCAUGUUACUUCAUAAAUGGCCGAGCAUGGUCGCUGAACUUUUUGCUCCAAGAACUACACCGAUGCUGAUGACGCGAAAAGCUGAUCAGAGAAGACGUCAGAGGAAGGCAACAGCCCGACCACCCUCCUCGAUGAGAUGACAAUGGUGACAACCAUGGGAGAUUCGAUAGUCGCAAUCCUCGCUGCAAUGACAACUGAGUACGUAGGGAAGGAUCGGAUAGGCGCCGCGACCACCGUGACAAUUUUAGGGGUAAGAGGCCCCGUGAUAAUGACCAUGAGGUCAACACGGUCAAAAGGUUCACUAGUCGUCAGGACUACCAAGAUGAUUACAACAAAGCCCUAAAGGGUCCAUGCCAGCUCCACCCUCGAUUCAGUCAGACAAUGGAAAACUAUCGUAUCCUAAAAAACAUCUACGCGCAAUAGAUCAUCUAGGACCGCGCCGCGAAGGCCACAUGCAACCGCGAUAGGCACAACCACGAGGAUGAAGACGAGGACCAGGACUGUGAUCCACACCACUAGUACAUGAACCCAAUUGUGUCGUCCAUUCCAUCUUUGGUGGCAAGGUAUCGAUUAAAUCCAAGAGAGAGCGUAAGCUUCUCAGAAGGGCGUGCUUGAAUGUCGAUAGCACUGACGGCCUUAUCGUCGAUCCAAAGUUUCCUAUAAGGUCUCAUCAGGAGAUAUCUUUUAAUAGACAAGACUGAUGGGCCGCCAUCCCUGAACCGGGGCAUUUUCCCUAAUUUUGGAUCCAUGCAUCAAUAGCGUCCGUUUCAAACGCAUGCUCGUUGACAGUGGCAGCUCCAUCGACAUUUUGUUUUGCAACAGUCUACCUGCCCUCAAGCUAACUCAAGCAGAGUUGAAGCCAUAUGAAGCUCAGUUUUGGGGUGUCCUACCGGGUUAGAGUUCCGUCCCUCUCGACUAGAUAAUGCUCCCUGUGCAGUUUGGUACUCGAGACCACUUCCACGCCGAAUUCAUAAACUUCGUGGUCGCUGACUUUGAUGGGACGUACCAUCUCAUUCUAGGCCAUCCUUCACUCACCAAAUUUAUAGGAGUACCAGAUUACUCAUAUCUGGUGCUCAAGAUGCCCAUCGAGAAGGGAGUCCUCACAGUCAGGGGCAACGUCUACAUAGCCUACACUUGUGAGGAAGAAAGCUUCAAGAUCACCGAGGCCAUUGAGCUCUCCAUUAGGAUGGCAGAGACCACUACUCAAGCAGCAUAGAUGCCCUCCGACCAGCUCAAGAUCUGCAAGCUGUAGGCCCCAAGGAAGAAUGUCAAGUCCAAGGAGCAUAAAGAAAUCCAACUGGUCGAUAAUGAUCCCGAGAAGAUGGCUCUUAUUGGAGCCACCAUGGAUCCUAAAUAGGAAGACACGCUCGUCAGGUUUUUGAGGGACAACGUAAGCAUUUUUGCAUAGAAACCUGUAGAUAUGCCUGAUGUCCCCCGUCACCUGAUCGAGCACUCCUUGAACGUCUCGAAGACCACCAGACCCAUCAAGUAGAAAUUACGACGGUUCACUCAUGACAAAACGGAGGCCAUUGGGAUAGAACUUACAUGGCUUUUAGCAGCCGUAUUUAUUAAAGAAGUCUAUCAUCCAGAUUGGGUUGCUAAUCUAGUACUUGUAAGAAAAAAGAAUAAUGAAUGGAGAAUGUGUGUGGAUUACACUGAUCUCAACAACACUGUCCCAAAGACCCCUUUGGUCUCCCUCGUAUCGACGAAGUGGUCGACUCCACGGCUAGAUGCGAACUUCUUUCUUUUCUCGACUGCUACUCUGGUUAUCACCAAAUCUCUUUAAAUACUGGCGAUUAGAUUAAAACCUCUUUCAUUACCCCCUUUGGAGCAUAUUGCUACACGACCAUGUCUUUUGGUCUAAAGAAUGUUGGGGCCACAUACCAAUGUGCCAUUCAGCAAUGCCUCCACAACGAGAUACAGGAUGACCUGGUCGAAGCCUAGGUCGAUGACGUUGUCGUGAAAACCAGGGACACCAGCACUCUGAUCGACAACCUUGAUCGAACCUUCAUAGCCCUCAAUCGAUAUAAAUGGAAGCUCAACCCCAAAAAAGCGUCUUUGGGGUUCCCUCUGGUUUACUACUUGGCAACAUCAUCAGCCGUGACAGCAUAAGCCUGAAUCCCUCCAAAGUCAAGGUAGUCCUUGAUAUGCGACCACCAAGGAAAGUGAAGGACAUGCAGAAGCUCAUCGGAUGCAUGGCUGCCCUCAGCCGUUCAUAUCUCGACUAGGAGAAAAAGGGCUACCUUUUUCAAAUUGCUAAAAGCGUCCGAGAAGUUCACCUGGAUCGAGGAAGUUGAUGUAGCAUUUGUGCAACUUAAAGCUUUCCUAACCUCUCCUCCGAUCCUCACCGCACCUCAGCCAAAUGAGGUCAUACUUCUAUACAUCAUAGCCACAGAUCAUGUCAUUUCAACGGGCCUCGUGGUUGAACAAGAAGAGCCAGACCAUGUUUACAAAGUCCAGCGACUAGUCUACUUCAUAAGUGAAGUACUCAAUGAGUCCAAGACCAGAUAUCCCUAGAUUCAGAAGUUAAUCUAUGACAUUCUAAUCACUUCCAGGAAACUAAAACAUUAUUUCAAUGGUCACCACGUCAUUGUAACUACAAGCUUUCUGUUGGGAGACAUCCUACGCAACAAGGAUGCAAAUGGUCAAAUAGUAAAGUGUCCCUUCUCAAUGGAUUUUUAGAGCCGUACCACCGUCAAAUCAUAAGCUUUGUAGACUUCAUUGCGGAAUGGACUGAUCUCAAUGCACCUCCAAGCCAGGAUACCAUCGAGCAGUGGCAGAUGUUCUUUGACGGAUCACUAAACAUCGACGGUGCUAGAGCUGGGGUUUUCUUUGUGUCGCCCAAUAAGGACAAAAUUUGUUACGUCCUUAGGAUCCACUUCCCCAAAUCCAACAACAUGGCCAAAUAUGAACCAUGCCUACACGGCAUGUGACUAGCCGUGGAACUCGAAAUUAAGCAUCUCUACGUCUAUGGCGACUCAGCCUUGGUCAUCAAUCAGCUCAACAAAGACUGGGAUACUACACAUGAGAAGAUGGACUUAUACUGCAAGGAGAUCCACAAAUUGAAGCAAAAUUCUAUGAUAUCGAAUACAUACAUGUGGUCCAGGACAAAAACCAAGCAGCAUAUGCACUGUCAAAGUUAGGAUCAUCCCGAGCUCAGGUCCCACAUGGUGUUUUCAUUCAAGAUCUUGUCAAGCCAAGUAUUGAAGAAGGCCUAGUUGGUGCGAGCGAAAUAGAGCAACGCAAGGCACUACUCACCACUCUGGAAGCUCCUCCGACCACAAACAGUAAUGACUGGCAUACACCCUUCAUCAAAUAUCUCACAGACGGCACUAGUCUUCCAGACAGAACAGAGAAUGAAUGUCUUCUACGGUGAUCCAAGCAUUACUUACUGGUCGAUGGUCGACUCAUGCACAAAAAUGCAAGUGUGGAAAUAUUGAUGAAGUGUGUCACCUAGGAUGAUGGCGUAAAGUUGCUCGAGGACAUACAUGCCGGAUCCUAUGGCAAUCAGGCAGCCUCUCGGACGCUGGUCAGAAAGUCUUUCUGAGUAGGGUUUUACUGGCCGUCUGCGGUAGCUGACGCUAAAAAGUUGGUUCAACACGGUGAGGGCUGCCAGUUCUUCACCAAAAGAACUCAUGUACCUACUCAUGAAAUCCACACCAUACCGGCAUCAUGGCCUUUCACCUGCUGGGUCUAGAUAUGAAUGGCCCAUUCAAACCUGCCCCUGGUAACUUCAAGUGUGUUUUCGUCUUGAUCGACAAGUUUUCUAAAUGGAUUAAGUACAUGCCUCUAGUAAAAGCUACUUCAGAAAAGGCGGUUGAGUUCCUUAAUCAAGUCAUACACCGCUACAACAUCCCAAAUAGUAUAAUCAUAGACCUAGGGACUCAGUUCACCGACACUACCUUUUGGGACUUUUGUGAUAACAAGGGCAUAGCCAUGAAGUACAUGUCGGUAGCACAUCCUAGAGCCAAUGGGCAGGUCGAACGAGCUAACGGCUUGAUCCUCUAUGCUUUAAAAAAGAUUGUACAAAGAAAACAACAAGGUAGAAGGAAUGUGGAUGAAAGAACUGCCAACCAUUGUCUGGGGCCCUAGAACACAGCCCAGUCAAAAUAUGGGCAUGUCUCCGUACUUCAUGAUAUAUGGGGUUGAGGCACUCCUCCCUGCCGAUAUCAAGUUCGGAUCUCCUAGGGUCGAGCACUUCGACUAGUCUACAGCUGAUGAAUCCAGAUAACUUGAAAUCAAUUGCACAGAAGAACGCCGACUGGACUCUUGCAUACGAACAGCUAAGUAUCUCGAUGUCCUACGGUGCUAUUACAACCGGAGUGUCAAAGGGUGAUUUUUUGUGGUCGGUGAUCUAGUGCUGAAAUAGAGGACACGCCAAGAGGGGAUGCAUAAGUUGUCCACACCUUGGGAGGGGCCUUUUAUGGUCACAGAAGUUACACGCCCCGGUUCUUAUAGAUUAGCAUACUCAGACGGAAGAAGUUUUCCUAAUUCAUGGCAUAUAGACAAGCUCUGGCGUUUCUAUCCCUAACGACAAGGCUUUGUAAUUUGUACCUCUAAUUUUCAUUUUGUGGCUAAUAACAAAUUUGAGUCUUUAUUCUUUAUUAGUUCACUCUCAGGCAGGGCACCCAUCAAGUGUGGUCCCCCAUCUUUAUGAUUUCUGUUUGUUACAAUAACUAAAGGAGAGUGGUCUGUCACUCUCACUUAGCUACAUCGUACCAAAAAACAGCGCUUUACCAUGGUUAAAAACUGAAACUUUGUUACAAACUUUAUUAAUAAAGUUUACAAUAAAAAUGCCUCUGGUCGGUUCUAUCCUACAACUACAGGCUAGCCAGGGGUCGCUGCUCGCCAGUCGUUGCAGUAUGCGCUACAGGCACCGUCGAAGAGGUCUGGGCCACCGGCGCCUGGCUAGUCGAGACCACAGGCGUUGACCACCCAUCUCCCACCGAUGAAGCUUUUGGCCACAUCUCAUCUAAUUCAUCUAGACUCGACUGGCUCAGAGGAGCAGAAGGUCCACAUAGGUUGAUGUCACCAAUCACUGUUGACGACAAAUCCAACAGACCGAUGCGAAGGUCAUCCGCUUCCUUCGGACCAAUUUCGUUCAGGUAUCCUUUUUCCAGACAAGCCAGGUCGACCAGGGGAUACUGGGCAAGCACCAUGCUCAGCACAUGAGCACCCGCGUACUCGCCAGCCUCCUUCACGAACUGCUAAAGCCAGCCCCAGGCACGCUGAGAUUUCUCAAUCACCCCAAGAGCCUAUGCUUAGGGCUAGUUCUCGGGCAGCUUAGGACUUAUGAGAUCAAGGACCGGGGCAAUACCCUUCUAGAUCUAGAUACAUCAAUUUUUCCAUGUAUCCUAAUCCUUGAUCAGCUCCUCGAAAUGCUUCUUGGUGUUUACCUUUAGUACUGCACCACACAAAUUAUUUAUCAGGUCUUGACCACGAAAUCUUAAUCAACUAAAUAAUCCUGGUCUUACCAGCAAGCUCUCGGUCCCUGACUUUUAGCUCCUACCCCAUUUUCCACUCACUCUUGUGGAUCCGAGAACGUUCCUAGUCGAGCUAGUCUUUCUCUUUGCGGAGGUGUUGGGUAUUCUUAACAUCAUUACCAAAAGUAGACUAAGUUCUCUAAAUCUAGUAACGGUGCCAAAAAUGCCAAACCUAUCCCUCAUACCACUUAAGCCAAGUUGUCAUCCCCAGCAUGACAUGAGAGACGCGGUAUUGAAAUAUGCAAUUGCUCUUCUAAAUAAAUAAUGAAUGGGAUCUGCAAGCGCACAGAUUAAUAUUGAUGUAGCAUUUUAACCGGAAAGUAUUCCAGGUAUCGUUAUUUAUAUUUUUACCACUGGGAAGAGAUUAGCAAUCAUCAAUAUUGAUUAUAGAAUAGAAUAUGAGAUUGAGUAUCUAUCAUUGCAUGUAUAAUUGAGAACAUUUAUCUAACUCUUCAUACAGGGAUAAGUGUCACAUAAAAGAUAUAUGAAAUAAUGAAUAGUGACAAGGAUAAUUAUUCUGAUCAGCCACAUAUAAAUAUGAUAAGCACCUCAAUUAGAUACUCUAGAAAGUCAUUAGCAUGGUACUAGAACGAACUACAAGAAUAUUCCCUAAGUUAUUCUCAACUAUAUAGUCUAGCAUUAUCAUAGUUAGUGCAAGCAUACUUAGCAAUCAUUGUGAGACAAGACUACGCCCAUGCAUAGUGAUAUUAGCAAGGUAAAUGAGAAACAUAGCAAUCACUCUCCUGUAAUAAUAUUGCUCUGCCAACCCAAUACACGAGAGGGGGACUAUAUAAGAAUCAAUGAAGCUAUCACUAUCACGAACUACCCCACGAUCUGGCAUAUUGGGUACAAUCGCAGAUAAAUACGGUAUAAGCACCACGCCUACACAAUAUCUAUCAUUUACCCAUGGAUCCGAUGGAUAAACGCUAUACGAUCCUAAGCAUGUAUAUAGAUCCAAUCUAACUAAGCCAAGUACAUAACUAUGAUAAACUAAGGACAAUAUAAUCUUGAAUAUAAGCAAGUAGAGCAAAGUCAUAAGCAAUAUAUUGAAGUAGAACAAAGUCAUAUUCAUAAUAUUGAAGAACAAAGAUAUUUAGAAAGCAAUUAGAAGCACAAUUAGAGAAUUACCAACAAUCCUCUUGACAGAUCCGGAAACCAAUCGAAGAUUGACUCCUUCUAGUUCAAAUCGUACGUAGCUAUGCUAAUCUAGAUAUCUAAUUGACGUGGUGGCUCUAAUCUUGAUCAGAGGCUUCUUCUCCCUUGAAGAAUAAUGAAUUAGGGUUGAGAGGCUCUCUCCUGCAGGGGCCAGGGGGUCUGGUUUUAUAGUCCCUUCAAGUGAAUAUGGGCCGUUGGAUCAAACCGACAUAGAUUGAACGGUUAUCCUUGAUCCUUUAGGUCGGUGGAGAUCUCCCACGAAACAGAGUCCUGAUUGGACUCAGAGAGGGGGCGGGCGCCCAGGGCAGGUGGGCAGGCGCCCUGCCUCUGGCCCCGUUCGGCCUCCUCUUGCUUCCCGUGGCUUCUGGAAUCUUCUAGAUGUAAGAUAAUUGCGUGGCACGUUAAUAUCUCUAUGUAAUCCCGACGUAUGGGCCUUUCUUCCUUAUUCCCUGAUAACCCCCUACAGAAAUAGACAAACACCAAAACUCGUGGAAUUCUGUCAGAUAAAACCCUAACUCUGGAUGUUGAUUUCAUUUGGAUCCUUUUCUUUGUUUAUUUAAUAAUUAAAUUUGAUACUUAAGGACCGUCAACAAACUCCCCCAAGCUUACCUCUUGCUCGUCCCUGAGCAAGGAUAAUCUCAGCAAUGGAUCAUAAGUUGUUGCAAUAUCUUUAAAAAUUGACGGUACACAUGCUUUUAAAUAAGAUCUCAUCUCUGAGUUAGAGUAAACUGUCAAGACUUAAAACCUACUUACUUUACCUUUACCAUGGGACUUGUAACCGUCACUUCUGUCUUGAGUAGUUAAAAGAUAGAACAGUCUAGUCAAGUGCCAUGUCUCUUAUUCUUGAUCAGCUAUAGCUCUAGAGUUUUUGUAGAUUUUCAAAUAAAACUCAGAGAUUCCUUGUAUGACUCUCUCAGAUCUCUCUUUUGUGGUAUUUCUGGAUCCUUACCAAGGCAGUGAUGGUAUAUGCCUUCUCUCAAAAUAUGUAGUAUUUGUGGUAUAAAGCAUAGUGACAUUGUCUUAUCUCUCAUCCUACUCUAAUAAGGCUUUAAUAUCUGGAGCUCAUAGGUGGAAGAUAAAGUAUACAUACUUACAAGACAUGUAUUGCAUAGUCAAACCAUGGAUCCAAAGAAACAAGUCAAUAAGUUUAAUCAAGAUGUGCAUGUGUGGCGAAUGAAUGGUAUAUGGUGAUGAUGGUGAUAACAAUGGUGAAAGUCUAAUUCUACUUUUGCUCGUUUGAGGGGUUAUAUACCUUUCUUGCUUUUUGAAAUUUUGUGAGGAGAAUGAGAUGCUCUUCUUUUUCUUUUCUCUCAGGUGGGUAUCUUGUACCCCUAAUUCUACUGUCAGACACUUGUCCAUUUUUACCUUUCGUCUCACUUUUUCUUUUCUUCGAGGUUCCGGGCACUUGCCCCUUUUUAUUU